rnacentral:misc_RNA from 1 species
CUUGUAUGUCGAAGAUAGUCAAAAACUGGAACUAAAUCCUUCGACCUUGCUUCAAUCAUACGGAUUGGAAUCCUUUCAACCUCAAUUUCCCCUCGUAUUGCAGUUUCAACAUCCAUUUUUAUCCCCUCUGCCAUCAUCAAUUGAAAGUAUAUCUCGGGCUUUGUCCAUACUGGAACAUGAGGUUGAUGCAUUUGUAGUUCAGCUUCUGAAAUAUACAAAUGAUGCUUUUCCUCAAGGCUGAUCUUCGCUUUUGUAGCUGCACCACUACCUUCACGAUGAACACUAUUUCCGUUUUUUUUGCCUUCUGGAUAUAUCUUAUUGCUGUCUGAAUUCCCAUUCUCACCAUAUAUGUCAACAUUAUCCUCUUGCACUCUUCGGUUCUGUUUCUGACAAAUAUUCCACUUCUGAAUUGCCUCAACUACUAACCUUCCAUCACUUUCUGGAACAGAUUCAUGAGCUGUCCCUAAUCCGGACACAACAUUUAUUGAAUCUAUACCCAUUGAUAUUCGCAGGACAUACUGUAUCAUACAACCCGAAGGAGAGAAAACAAGAAGGUGGUACUUUGUCUUCA